AUGAACGCUAGCUACAGGCUUAACACAUGCAAGUCGAGGGGCAGCAUUUUAGUUUGCUUGCAAACUAAAGAUGGCGACCGGCGCACGGGUGAGUAACACGUAUCCAACCUGCCGAUAACUCGGGGAUAGCCUUUCGAAAGAAAGAUUAAUAUCCGAUAGUAUAUUAAAACCGCAUGGUUUUACUAUUAAAGAAUUUCGGUUAUCGAUGGGGAUGCGUUCCAUUAGUUUGUUGGCGGGGUAACGGCCCACCAAGACUACGAUGGAUAGGGGUUCUGAGAGGAAGGUCCCCCACAUUGGAACUGAGACACGGUCCAAACUCCUACGGGAGGCAGCAGUGAGGAAUAUUGGUCAAUGGACGAGAGUCUGAACCAGCCAAGUAGCGUGAAGGAUGACUGCCCUAUGGGUUGUAAACUUCUUUUAUAUGGGAAUAAAGUAUUCCACGUGUGGAAUUUUGUAUGUACCAUAUGAAUAAGGAUCGGCUAACUCCGUGCCAGCAGCCGCGGUAAUACGGAGGAUCCGAGCGUUAUCCGGAUUUAUUGGGUUUAAAGGGAGCGUAGGUGGAUUGUUAAGUCAGUUGUGAAAGUUUGCGGCUCAACCGUAAAAUUGCAGUUGAAACUGGCAGUCUUGAGUACAGUAGAGGUGGGCGGAAUUCGUGGUGUAGCGGUGAAAUGCUUAGAUAUCACGAAGAACUCCGAUUGCGAAGGCAGCUCACUAGACUGCAACUGACACUGAUGCUCGAAAGUGUGGGUAUCAAACAGGAUUAGAUACCCUGGUAGUCCACACAGUAAACGAUGAAUACUCGCUGUUUGCGAUAUACAGUAAGCGGCCAAGCGAAAGCAUUAAGUAUUCCACCUGGGGAGUACGCCGGCAACGGUGAAACUCAAAGGAAUUGACGGGGGCCCGCACAAGCGGAGGAACAUGUGGUUUAAUUCGAUGAUACGCGAGGAACCUUACCCGGGCUUAAAUUGCAUUUGAAUAAUCUGGAAACAGGUUAGCCGCAAGGCAAAUGUGAAAGUGCUGCAUGGUUGUCGUCAGCUCGUGCCGUGAGGUGUCGGCUUAAGUGCCAUAACGAGCGCAACCCUUAUCUUUAGUUACUAACAGGUCAUGCUGAGGACUCUAGAGAGACUGCCGUCGUAAGAUGUGAGGAAGGUGGGGAUGACGUCAAAUCAGCACGGCCCUUACGUCCGGGGCUACACACGUGUUACAAUGGGGGGUACAGAAGGCAGCUACCUGGCGACAGGAUGCUAAUCCCAAAAACCUCUCUCAGUUCGGAUCGAAGUCUGCAACCCGACUUCGUGAAGCUGGAUUCGCUAGUAAUCGCGCAUCAGCCAUGGCGCGGUGAAUACGUUCCCGGGCCUUGUACACACCGCCCGUCAAGCCAUGAAAGCCGGGGGUACCUGAAGUACGUAACCGCAAGGAGCGUCCUAGGGUAAAACUGGUAAUUGGGGCU
rnacentral:rRNA from 1 species